AGUUUUGUGCAGUGGCAGUAUCUUAGCCAGUGAGGUUUAUCCGAGGUGCAAUUAUUGCUAAUUGAAACACCUACCCAACCAGUGAACUACUAUUUUAAAUGUAAUCUGUGUUAAAAUUUAUCAACAUAGAAUAUUUAUG
rfam:Fukomys damarensis contig156473, whole genome shotgun sequence.